CAGUAGCCGCGGUAAUACGUAGGUGGCAAGCGUUGUCCGGAAUUAUUGGGCGUAAAGGGCUCGCAGGCGGUUUCUUAAGUCUGAUGUGAAAGCCCCCGGCUCAACCGGGGAGGGUCAUUGGAAACUGGGAAACUUGAGUGCAGAAGAGGAGAGUAGAAUUCCACGCGUAGCGGUGAAAUGCGUAGAGAUGUGGAGGAACACCAGUGGCGAAGACGACUCUCUGGUCUGUAACUGACGCUGAGGAGCGAAAGCGUGGGGAGCGAACAGGAUUAGAUACCCCAGUAGUCCCUGUCUCUUAUAC
rnacentral:rRNA from 1 species